rnacentral:rRNA from 1 species
UACAGAGGGUGCUAGCGUUGUUCGGAAUCAUUGGGCGUAAAGGGCGUGUAGGCGGUUUGUUAAGUCAUGUGUGAAAUCCCUCGGCUCAACCGGGGAACGACGCAUGAAACUGGCAAGCUAGAGUACCAAAGAGGGGGGUGGAAUUCCCGGUGUAGCGGUGAAAUGUGUAGAUAUCGGGAGGAACACCAGUGGCGAAGGCGGCUUUCUGGUCUGCUCUUGACGCUGAGGCGCGAAAGCUAGGGUAGCAAACGGG